rnacentral:rRNA from 1 species
UACGUAGGGUGCGAGCGUUAUCCGGAUUCACUGGGUUUAAAGGGUGCGUAGGUGGGCAGUUAAGUCAGUGGUGAAAUCUCCGGGCUUAACCCGGAAACUGCCAUUGAUACUAUCUGUCUUGAAUACCGUGGAGGUGAGCGGAAUAUGUCAUGUAGCGGUGAAAUGCUUAGAUAUGACAUAGAACACCAAUUGCGAAGGCAGCUCACUACACGAAUAUUGACACUGAGGCACGAAAGCGUGGGGAUCAAACAGG